rnacentral:lncRNA from 1 species
UCUCUGCUCUUCGGCAAAUCUGAAGGCAGUCAUGGCCACUGAAGGCUUCGAUCAUUUGAGUAGAAGUUGCCCCUCUGUUGUGAAGGAGCUCAUUGCCAUGCUCGGCUCCUAAAAUAAUUGGGCAGUGUUUUAGCAAUGUUGGUUCCUGGUUUCUAGAAUUCUGGUAGCCUUGCCAUUAUCGGAAUGGCUUUAUGAGUACAUGUAUCUUAAGGAGAUGCAAAAUUUAUGCCUUGUGUAGUGUCAUCUCUUUUUGGUCAGGUCAUGGCAUCGCUAUGCCGCUAUGGUCUUAGUUAUCCUGGAACAGAUUUGUUAUCAUCUAUCUCCAUCCAUUAGGUCCAGAACAAACAGUUACCUCUGCUUUACUGUUUUGC